GCUGGUAAUUGUUAACAGUCUCGUUUUCUUUCAAAAAAGGUUAUAAAUCAUAUGCAUCUUUUUAUCAGGGUAAUCAAGUCAUUUAAAUGUAAAUAAUGUUGCUUAGAAAACCUUCAACAAAUUGCUCACAUAGUAAAAGUUACUUCUUUACUUAAUGCUUAAAGAAAUUUACAAAAGCAAAAUUUUGACUAACAAAAAUAAAAAGUGCUUAUUAUGUAAAAAGGCUCAUUUGGGGUAUCUAAAUUUUUAUUACUAUAUCUAUCUAUAUAAAAAAAAGUGAAUGCAACAAUUAAUUCAUUUUAUUAGUUUAAACAAAAAUUAUUAUAUUUUGUGAUUUACAGUUUCUACACCUUACUACUAAAUGCUUUCCUCUGUUUUUCUUUCUGCAUCUGACAAGCUGUAAUUGAUAAGCCACUUGUAGCUGGAAGCUAACAGGUAACACGGGUUUCCAGGCAAAAAGGAGAAAGAAGAAUAUUAAUAAGGAAGUACUAGAAUAACUGCAGCACUCCAUGAAUGCAGAAGCAUAAAGUGUCAGAAUAUGAAUCUGCUUUUAUUGGGAAAACCACCAAAAAUGCUUCUUGGGUGCUUUUCACUGUCAUCCAGGAGACUGUUUAACAAUAUUAAGUCAUCCUAAUCUGGGGAGUCUUACAGAAUACAGAAGAAUGUACCGAACACAUAUGCUCAGAAGCACAUAAAAUGUGACACUAAAAAAAAGAGGUGGGAUUAUUCCAAACAGUCCAUUUUGUCCGUUAACACCUGUAAAGUUUUCUGUUUUAAGUCUGCAAAGCUAUGAAUCUGGUCUCAGCAGUGCCACGCGACUUGAUGAUGGCACAUGACCUACAGAAGCUCCUGUUUGAACCAACAUUCUUGGCAGCUGUUGUGGAGCUGUUCAAACUUGUCAAUCUCGCAAUUGUUUGGUUUUCACAGCAAACUAAAGUGGGAAGCGUGACUCCACAUGUGACAGAAGAUACAAUGUGUGUAACACUGCUGAUAUGUCCGUUUAUGUCUUAAUAGAACUAUUAUAAUCAUAUGUUACUGUCGCUGCUGUUUUUCUUGCAUUCUCAAAUGAUAGAAGUUUAAAUGAAUUUUUAGGUAUAAGCACAUUUUACUUUAUGUUUAAUGUGUCAAAGAGAACAUGUUUCUUGUGUUUUCUAAAACAGCAUGACUUUAAGUGAACCUGCAGUAAUGACUUUGUUCUUUCCAGCCGUUGGGGGUGAGGUGAAGCUUCCAGGAUGUUGUACAUGUUGACAUGUUUGAGUUUGUUCUGUGCUCUACAAAGAAGUGUUUCAUCAGAUGAAGCUGUGUCACUUAAUUGCAACAACACUGUCAGUGCUACAGCUGGAGAAAAUGUGACUCUAAAUUGUUCCAUAACUUCGACUUUUGGAGGGAAAGUGUGUACUGGUCAAAAGUAUGACUGGCAUAACACAAAUGGCAACAAACUAUGUGAAACUGAUGCCACAAAAUACACCUGUGCAUGGGAUGCCCUUACCUAUGUGUCACUGACCAUCUCAAAUGUCCAAGAAGAGGCAAAUGUCACAGCUGAAAUCGUGUCAAUCUGUGGAAUGGUGAAAUCACUUCCUGUCAGAGUACAGCUAAUCAUUGAUCCAAAAACGGACGUUUUCCAACCAACAACACCACCAGAUAACGGUCCAGGAACAGGACACAGCAGGCAGCGGGAGGAGUCAACACGCGUGACCACCAUUGUACUUUGUGUUUUUGCCUCUGCUGUAGUUGUGUUCAUUUUGUAUUUUCUGUAUAGAACUUACAGACGCAGAGUAAGAGAGAGGACAGUGACAUACACUGCACCAGUCAGUAAAGACUUCACGGUUGUUUAAAAAUGUAUUUUUUCUUUGUAUGAUUGUUUAUCAGUGCGAGGGGAAUAUGAAUGUAUAUGAAUGUAUGUGACAUAUUUUCCAUUUGUAAAAGAUGCUGCUCAUCACUGCUGACUCUUUGAUCAUCAUAUUGUUUGUUUGUUUUUUAUUAACCUUUUUUUUAUUAGACUUCUUUGAUGUCUUAUAUACAAUAUAUAGAUAUACAAUAACAGGAUGUGAAUAACAGAGCGUUCACAUGACUUUCAGUCUGCUCAGUAAAAUGAAACAAUUUUGGGGAAAUUUAAGAACAUUUGGGACUGAACCUGUUAUGUGUCUGAUGAAUGUCCACAGAUUUGUCACAGCUCUGACAUUGUGUGAACAUCAGGUCAAUUUUGCUUACUUAUCAUCCACGAUCUAAUAAUAGGGAAAUGAUCCAAAGUUGGAUUACAUACUUACUUUGUAAAUCCACUGAUGUUUCUGUACCUUGACUUCUUUACAUAAUUGUGACCACAGCUCACAGUAAAAAUCAUCCAACUGUUACUUUAGGCUGUGAUGGAUGAAUGAAUGGACAGAUGGGACUCUCGUGGGCUGUGGAUAAUGCAUUUCCCUGUUCCACACAUGGAUUUUUUGCCACCUGUGUAGCAUUAUUAUAUGUUAACUCAAGUAAACUCAAAGACUGUGGCAAGACAGUCCGUCCACAUCGUUACAUCAUUACAGUGCUGCUGUUUUUGUUGCACAUUGGUUGGCACAUUAUCAGACAUAUACUUCCUUCAGAAAUGACAGAGAGCAAAAAAAGAGCAAAAGGAAGAUUGACUGGUAAUAUUUUUCCAGGCCUACGUGUAAACCACUGUUUGUUAAGAUGUUAGCCCAAAAUUAAAUGUCAGUGUUGUGUUUAUAGAUGUUUACAGCUAACACCUAAUGCUGGAGUUAAAAGAGUCACUUGUCACUACAAAAUAACUGUAAAUGUAAUAACUGUGUAAAAUUGAACAGUGUUUUGUUCAAAAUACACUCAACUUGUAACAAGUCUUUCAA